UGGUACACAUUUGGUGGAGGAACCAGACUGGAUGUUGGAAGUGAAGCCCGUCCCACCUUGAUGGUUCUGCCCCCUUCCAAUGAGGAGCUGCAGCAGGGGAAGGCCACGCUCGUGUGCCUGGCCAACAAGGGCUUCCCCUCAGACUGGAGUCUGGCCUGGAAGGUGGACGGCAUCAGCGGCGGCAGCUGGGAGGAGAGCAGGGGCCCUGCGGUGAUGGAGCAGGACGCUCGUUACAGCUGGAGCAGCACCCUGAGGCUCUCUGCAGGCCAGUGGACGAAGGUGGGCUCUGUGACCUGUGAGGCCACCCAGGGCUCCCAGACGCUGGUCUCAGAGACACUGAGGAGGGACCAGUGUUCCCAGGACUGA